ACUCGUGUAGUUUAUAAAAACAUUAUAUUUUCAUUAUAAAGAUAAAACCUAUUUUCACAAGUU
rnacentral:tRNA from 1 species